UGGACAGGCUGCUGAAGUCUUCUGGAGUCUUCUGGAGAAGAGUGGGUCCUCAGGAGUGAAGAUGCUGCUGGCUGAAUGGACGUGGAGACUCUCUGGUUUCUGACACCACGACUCUUGCUGAAAAAAAUUGGGACAGAGGAGGAGACUGACUGGAAGAGAAACGGUUAAACAUGCUUCAUACAUGAGGGGAAAUUUCAGAAUCAUACAUUACAUGUGGGCCACUCCUACCAUGUGAUGGACUUGUUCUAUUGAUAGAUCUCAAGAUCUUGAACUCUCAAGGAAAAAAUCUGACACAGCAUUCAUGGAAUUUUGAUAUGAGCUAAUUUUCUGUGAUCCUUUGUUAUUUCAGCAUUUAUCAUAUACAAUAUUUGUAUUGUAUUAAAUAAUUGUAUUCCUCUUCUUCUUCUUCUCACUAUUAUUAUUGUUAUUGUUGUUGUAAUUUUUCCAUUUUAUUUUUCAUUGUUAGUUAAGUGAUUGUAGUAGUAGUAUUACUAGUAGCAGUACAGCUACACAUAUCAGUCCCAUAUACAGUACACUACAAUAACAUAACCUUAAUACACUAAAGUACAGAUAUGGACCUUAUAAUAGAUAUUUCAGUGCGAGAUUAGCAUUUAAAAUUUUGUCAGGAGCACCAAAUGUAUGCUAUGUACUGUGUAUAAUUCAGUGCGUUCACAAUAGCAGAGGAAACAGUGGUACUCAGAUGGAAAUGAUAUUAAGUUGUGGUUUGAGUUUGGUGACGCUGUGGAGUCCUGCUGUAUGUCAUACAUGCGUAACAUGACUGACAAUGACAAGACAAGAGUGAAGACAGGUGACAUGAACUCAACCUUGAUGUCUUGAGUUGAUGUCACAGGUCUCCAACCACCUUUUUACCGCUUUUGGAGACCUUGUAUUCUUUCUCUUGGAUGAUGUUAGCACAUGUGUGGGGGAAAAAAUUAUUUGGAAGCAGAAACCACAUAGAAGAAGUAGUUGGGACCAAGUGGUAGCGUAAGGCGUGUUUUCCCUUCAGUACUUUUUCUGUUUUGUCCUCUUAUCCAGAACUUAAUGUCUCUGUGUGUGUUUGGAUUAUCUUAGCCCAUACGGGCAACAGUGUUGGGCAACACUGGUAUUUUGAAAACUGUUGCAGAAAAAUCAUUCCAAGUCGCUCCAGGAUGAAGACUUCACAAUCUGUACAAACAAAUGUCAGGAUGACUUGUAUAGUUCAUGACUAAGUUCAUUAACCGGAUGCAAAUUUGGAUAACAGUGUAGAAAUCAAAUAGAUAAUAUGGAAGAACAGGCUUACUAAAAAGGUUUAGAGUUUGAGUUUGAAUUUUGAUAAUAUGGAAGAUUUUAAGUACCGAAAUUAAAGGAAGUCAAGCAAAGAAAUGAAGUGAAAAUGCAAUGUAUUUUGUAAUGUGUGUAUCCUUUGGUCUAUGCAUUUAGUGUGCAAAAAUGUAUAUUAAAAGGACAAUUCUGUA